AUUGAACGCUGGCGGCAUGCUUUACACAUGCAAGUCGAACGGUAACAGGCCGCAAGGUGCUGACGAGUGGCGAACGGGUGAGUAAUGCAUCGGAACGUGCCCAGUCGAGGGGGAUAACGCAGCGAAAGCUGCGCUAAUACCGCAUACGAUCUAUGGAUGAAAGCGGGGGACCGUAAGGCCUCGCGCGCUUGGAGCGGCCGAUGUCAGAUUAGGUAGUUGGUGGGGUAAAGGCUCACCAAGCCGACGAUCUGUAGCUGGUCUGAGAGGACGACCAGCCACACUGGGACUGAGACACGGCCCAGACUCCUACGGGAGGCAGCAGUGGGGAAUUUUGGACAAUGGGCGCAAGCCUGAUCCAGCAAUGCCGCGUGCAGGAAGAAGGCCUUCGGGUUGUAAACUGCUUUUGUACGGAACGAAAAGGCUCUGGUUAAUACCUGGGGCUCAUGACGGUACCGUAAGAAUAAGCACCGGCUAACUACGUGCCAGCCGCCGCCGUAACAC
rnacentral:rRNA from 1 species